UCCGAUAGAUGAACAGUACCCUUAUUACUCUCUAAAAAGUCAAACAGCUCCUCUCUAUAAUAAACAUGAUGUGAACAUACAGAAUUUAAAAUCUACUAUAGAGAAUAAGUAAAUACCUCAUGAGACACCAGAAGAACACCAUCACUUUCUUCUGUAUCGCUACUUUGGACUACUACUACCAUAGUAGCUUUUAUCCAAUCUCUGAGAUAUGGGCAAUCUCUGACUCGAUGCCCAAACUUAUCAUACUUAUAACAUCUAAUCUUGCUGUAAUCCCUCGACUUAGACUGCCCACCUUACGAUCCUCUGUCCCUUCAUCCUCUGCCACCACCUCCUUCAGUCACUGCCAA
rnacentral:lncRNA from 1 species